CGGUCACAGUACCGGUGACGUAUCCUUCAAAUGUCUGACUUAUCAGCUGUCGAUGGUAGACUCUGUGUCUACCAUGGCGCUCACGGGUGACGGGGAAUCAGGGUUCGAUUCCGGAGAGGGAGCCUGAGAAACGGCUACCACAUCCAAGGAAGGCAGCAGGCACGCAAAUUACCCACUCCCGGCACGGGGAGGUAGUGACAAAAAAUAACGAUACGGGACUCAUCCGAGGCCCCGUAAUCGGAAUGAGAACACCCUAAAUCCUUUAACGAGGAUCCAUUGGAGGGCAAGUCUGGUGCCA
rnacentral:rRNA from 1 species